GUCUACGGCCAUGCUACCCUGAACAAGCCUGAUCCUGUCUGAUCUCAGAAGCUAAGCAGGGUCGGGACUGGUUACUAACCAGUACUUGGAUGGGAGACCACCUAGGAAGACCAGGUGCUAUGGGCA
rnacentral:rRNA from 1 species